rfam:Nitrincola nitratireducens strain AK23 contig000001, whole genome shotgun sequence.
CGGGGCGUAGCGCAGCCUGGUAGCGCACUUGCAUGGGGUGCAAGGGGUCGCAGGUUCAAAUCCUGCCGUCCCGA